rnacentral:rRNA from 1 species
UACAGCGGGUGCAAGCGUUGUUCGGAAUUAUUGGGCGUAAAGCGCGUGUAGGCGGCUUUGCAAGUCGGGUGUGAAAGCCCUCAGCUCAACUGAGGAAGUGCGCCCGAAACUGCAGAGCUUGAGUGCCGGAGAGGGUGGCGGAAUUCCCCAAGUAGAGGUGAAAUUCGUUGAUAUGGGGAGGAACACCGGUGGAGAAGGCGGCCACCUGGACGGUAACUGACGCUGAGACGCGAAAGCGUGGGGAGCAAACAGG